rnacentral:rRNA from 1 species
GGCGCGGCCUCCGAUGGUGAGUGGGCUGGCGGCCGGAAACACAGCUGCUUGGGCGAUUUGGAUCGUAUUGCGGAUGGCGGCGUUGCGUCGGGCCAGCCGGCCGUACUGCAUGUUGACCACGCGCUCGUACCGGCAAUCGAGACAGACCUCGGCAAUCCGGCCAGGAACCGAGGCGCGGAUUCGGCGUUGCGUCUCCACGAAAUCCAACGCCAACAUUUGCCGGCACUGAGGAACGUUCCGGGCUGUUCACGGUUGACCGCGGACCAGAUGUUCGUCACGAGGUCGGCAAUGCCGAAACGUUCCUCAAGUCCCAGCGCGAAGGCCGCGAGGCGAUAAGGGCGGCGAGCCUGGUGAGAUCUCGCAGGUGCGGCAUGCUGAUGGCCACGGUGUUCUCGUUCG